GCCAACGCUGCAGCUACAGACACCAUACCAGUCGCUGCCACCCCGGCACCCACGGCUUGCAGACACCUUAACUGCUGUCACCGCACCAACUGCCGCCAUGCCAACUGCCAACCCCAAACCUGACACCACCGUUGCAGCAAGACGCCGCUGCCACAGCCAGACCUGCAUAUACAGGUGAAACCUACGCCGGUCAGGGAGAUGGGAUAGGAAGCAGCCCAGGGCGGGGAGCAGGAACAUGCCCAGCAGGCUUGGCACGUUUCAGGGAGAACUCCCCACCGAGCCAGUGGUGGGAACCAACCACCCACCACUGAUAGGGCCCUGGGCUGGGGCCCGGCGGAGAGGGAGGGCCCAGGUCCCUCUACCCCCUCUUCCCAGAUUCCGGACCAGGAGGAGAUCCUGAAAGACUGGGCCUGUGUGCGAGAGACUCGGCCUCUGGGCCUGACUGCGCAGGACUACACACCCCACCACAGGCUCCAUAAGGCAGAUGUGUGGCCUCUGCUUCCCUUAGGUGUCAGUGAUACUUCUCUUCAAGAAAAAGAAAAGAUUAAAUUUCUAGUGACCUGUGAAACCAAGGAAGGAAGCAGAAUUUCAUUUCAGAGGUUUGACACCAGUGUUUUGGGGAAAGAGCACCACUUUCAUUACACUAAUUGUAUGUCAUCUGCUGUUGGCCAGUUUCGAGUAAUGUCCUGGUGAUAAAUUCCUUUCAGGCAUGAGAUUAUUACAUUAGAAGACUAUCUGAAGUGUACUGGACUGCACUUCAUGGAUACAACUAGUUUGGAGGACAAAGGGAUCAUGUGUCCUCACGUUUAACUUUCCUGUUGAUUUCCUCCUGGAAACUGGACAAGACAUAUUUCCAUUCCUUGUUCUUCCUUCAACUGAUUUUUAAAUAUAGUUGCUCCAAUUCAAUUAGAAAAAUUGAAUUUAUCUUCCUCUCAAAUGUCCUUCCCAUCCAAAUACACUUAUGUGUCUGCUCUCCUAAGAGUAAUUGUAUUUCGACACAAAAGGAAAUUAUACUGAUGUAUAAGAGGAAUUAAAAAUCAUUAUUUAAUAUCAUUGUUGUUACCUAAAAUUGGAAGGCUCACUUUGCAUUUACGUAUACCUCCAUGACUCCCACUUGGAUUUUUCACACCCGUGAGUGAUGUAGUUAUAUGAUACAGGUCUGUAGCAUAAACCUAGCUUUACAUACAAAACAAAAUCAUAAAAUGUGAACUAGGUCCUACAUAUAUUAGUAGCUACCUGAGUCAGUCUUUCAUCACUGUUUAUAGACAGGGUGAUCCCCUCACUGUCAUCCCUUUUCACUUCCAAGUAGUUUUGAUGUUCACAGUUUAUCUUUGAUCAGUUUUCAUUGACUUUUUUGGGUUGGUACAAAGGUAGACAACUGAGCAAUAAUCAGCUGGGGGGAGGGGAAUUACAACCUUUCAGUAGAGACCUGACAUGCUCCCUUUCUGGAUAAGUACCGAGAAAGUGGUGCAUCAGGUAUAGUGUAGAUAUCUUUCUGUGUCACAACCAUCACCCUCACUGUCCCCUUCAUCUUAAUCCUGAAAAAUGCCCUGACCAGAUCAAGCCAAAGAGAGGGAGGCAAAUGACAUUUUUACCUCCUCUGGCUCCAGCUAGCUCCCAAAGAUCAGCUGGAAAAAAGACUGUCACACACCUGUUGUGUGUUCUUUUCCUCCCCCUUCUUAUUCCUUCUAUUUCCCAGCCCUCGCCUUUUUCUUUCUGACUAAUAAAAAUCUGGCUUAGCCAGCCACAUCUGUAUAUUUUGCAAUAUUGCUGUCUGUCACCACAUUAGGCAACUAAAUGCAAUGCCCUAAACAGCCUAAACUUUAUACAAGUUUGCCAGGUCAUCAAAGUGCAGAUUAUACCUGUAUGCUGUGUUUGUGUUUCUCUAGCAAUAGGCUGCAAGUAUUGGUAUCUCUUUUACCUUCUAGGAAACACAAUUGGACUUUAGUAACAUCUGCUCCAGCCCAUUUCAAUUAUCUUCCGUCUUUCCCACCAAAAGAACAGCUAUCACUGUAUAAUAACAACAUCUGAAAAAUUGUCUGAUGGGGGGAUUUCUUUCUAAAAACUAUACUUAAAGGGAAAGUGAACAAAGGAUGUUGUUACAAUCAAAGCCUUACUUAAUUGUUUACAUUUAAAAUACCUGAACUUUUUUUUCUCUCUCUUCUGUAUCUGUAAUAUAAGAUUUCAAUGGUGUUUAAUGCUGUGUUUGCCAAUAUACUAAGCAAGCUAAGGUCUCAGUAUACCUUGUUAACACUGAUAUAAGGUUGAACAGUAACUGGGUCAUAGUAACCCCUUUAGCUUAUUGGGCCACUUUAUUCCAUCUAAAUUAACACAGUGUGAACUUUCAUUGAAGAUUGAUGUAAGAAAUGGCUAAGGGGCCCCACCUAUAGCAAGAUAUAAGGAGUCUGCCCAAAGACCAUAUAAAUGAAGGGUUCCAGUGGGUAAAGUUGUGGGGUGUGUAUCUGUAUGGGUAUAUUUACACAGAAGCAGGGAGGGUCUUGAUAUUGUGUACUGAAAAACAGGCCCGGGGUUUAAAUCCACAAAGUGAUUUAGACAUUACAACUUGGAACAAUGUGGCACCUAACUUUAGGCACCUGAAAGUCAUGGGAACAACACUGCCAUCCACAAAGGCCAAGUUAGGUGCCUAGGAUUCCUAUACAAUGAAUGGGAAGUGAUGGAUGCCUUACUCCAAGUUACAAAACAUAGAGAACCAAAAAAGUGCCACUGUGGUUUAACAACCAAGUAAAAGAAGCAGCGAGAGAUAAAAGUAUAAUUUUCAAAGUACAAAUUAAAUCCUAGUGAGGAAAACAGAAAAAAGCAUAAACACCUGCAAAUGAAGUGUAAAAAUAUAAUU